AACCAUUACGCCAGCAUCCUAGCCGAAGCGCGGACCUCAGUCCCGGCUGGCCGUAUUACACCCUGGGCUAUAACACCUCCACCGAAGUGGAGGCCACAUUCCCAGAGCCUUUAUCCGGCCGCCGAAACUGAUGCUGGCCUGUCCAAACUGAGUAAACCGGUCAGAAGACCGGCCGAACAGUUUAAACAAGUCUGAUUGCAAGCGCUUCCCUUUCAACAAUUUCACGUGCUUUUUAACUCUCUUUCCAAAGUGCUUUUCAUCUUUCGAUCACUCUACUUGUGCGCUAUCGGUCUCUCGCCAAUAUUUAGCUUUAGAAGAAAUUUACCUCCCAUUUAGAGCUGCAUUCCCAAACAACUCGACUCGUCGAAGGAGAUUUACAUAGGGUGCCAUUUCCUGUCACAUACGGGAUUCUCACCCUCUAUGACGUCCUGUUCCAAGGAACUUAGACAGGCGGCUUCCCCAAAUCAUCCUCUACAAAUUACAAUGCGAACCCGAAGGCUA
rnacentral:rRNA from 1 species